UAGUAAUCACUCUAAUGCCAACAAAUAU
rnacentral:sRNA from 1 species